rnacentral:misc_RNA from 1 species
GGAAGGAUCAUUCACACUUUAUAUCUACUUCGUAGAUUGUCCGGUGAUACAAACACGUGGUAAACUAGGCUUCACCCUUCGGGGAAUGCCUAGAUUGCCGUAAUGUUUAUUGCUCGAAAUAUAGAGGCUAAAUACUUCUAUAUUCGGACGAAAUACAAUAUCAAACACCCUUAACGAUGGAUACCUCAGCUCGUGAAGCGAUGAAGGACGCAGCAAAGUGCGAUAAGCACUGUGAAUUGCAGAUUUCCGCGAACCAGUAGAUAUCUCAACGCAUUAUGCGCGAGAGGGGUUUACUCUUCUUGCAGGUAUGUAUCAGCGCCAUGAUAUAAUUCUGUAUCUUGAUUGUAUCAAGCGUGCAGGUUUGAAGAAACGAUUUACGUUUUCUCUUAUUAGCGUGAUACACGGUUCUGCCUGAAUCGAGUGCACUCUUAUUAGAACAGACUUUGUGGUUUUAAAUCGCGGGUCGUUUCCCGGACGCCACAUUCUUAAAUGUUUGCUGCGCAGUCUUACAAGGAAUUAGAAGAGGAAACUCAACUAAACUCCCAAGCUACGCUCUAAAUACUGAAAGAAUGAAGGGGGUUCGUAUACAAUCUUGACCUGAUACAUGCCAGACAACCCGCUGAAUUUAAGCAUAUAAGUAAGCGGAGGAAAAGAAACUAACAAGGAUUCCCAUAGUAACGGCGAGUGAACAGGGAAUAGCUCAGUGCCCAAUUCAUGUCAAAAGCAUGGAAAUGUGGUUUAUGUGGGUAACCAGCACGACGCUCUGGAAAAGUUUCCUGGAAUGGAGCGCCAAAGAGGGUGACAGCCCCGUGAAUUCCAGAGAUCGUUGUGCGUACGGUUCCUGCUGACAGAGUCGCGUACUUUGGGAUAAGUGCGCUAAAGGGUGGUAAGUUCCAUCCAAAGCUAAAUAUGACCACGAGACUGAUAGCGAACAAGUACCGUGAGGGAAAGGCGAAAAGAACUUUGAAAAGAGAGUUAAAAGUGCUUGAAAUCGUUAAGGGAGAAGCGAAUAUUGCGGUUGAAUAAGCUAUUUUGCGAGUUGUCAUAAUGUACUCGGUUAUAGUUGUGUGUCAGGGUUAACCGAUCGCAUGAUAUCUAGCCGGGUAUAGAGUGGCUUUAUCGUAGGGUGGCGGGCAGUUGCGACUUGAUUCCAGUGGCAAAGCUUACUCAAUGCGGUAAGGCCAAGGUCUUCACUGUAUGAGCAGGUCAUCCUGGAUAUUCAGUCUGCAUUCUUAGUCAGUAAUAAACGGUUCAUUCGUAUUCACUGCAAUUCGAAGCCAUUUGGCUCCGUACGGCUCUGUUUGCUAAUGAUGCCUAAAAGCUUGACUACAACUGCCAGCAACAGUGAUAUUUGUCCCGUCUUGAAACACGGACCAAGGAGUCUAACGUAUGUGCAAGUGCUUGGAUAGAAAAUCCUCGUGCGUAAUGAAAGUGAUCAUAGCGAGUGUUCUGAAAAGAUCACGCAGCUGUGGCCGACCUUGAUCUUCGGAGACAGGUUUGAGUAUGAGCAUAUCCGUUAGGACCCGAAAGAUGGUGAACUAUGCCGGAGUAGGGUGAAGCCAGGGGAAACUCUGGUGGAGGCUCGUAGCGAUACUGACGUGCAAAUCGUUCGUCAAACUUCGGUAUAGGGGCGAAAGACUAAUCGAACCAUCUAGUAGCUGGUUCCCUC